rnacentral:rRNA from 1 species
AUUGAACGCUGGCGGAAUGCUUUACACAUGCAAGUCGAACGGCAGCACGGACUUCGGUCUGGUGGCGAGUGGCGAACGGGUGAGUAAUGUAUCGGAACGUGCCCAGUCGUGGGGGAUAACGUAGUGAAAAUUACGCUAAUACCGCAUACGAUCUAUGGAUGAAAGCGGGGGAUCGCAAGACCUCGCGCGAUUGGAGCGGCCGAUAUCAGAUUAGGUAGUUGGUGGGGUAAAGGCCCACCAAGCCAACGAUCUGUAGCUGGUCUGAGAAGACGACCAGCCACACUGGAACUGAGACACGGUCCAGAGUCCUACGGGAGGCAGCAGUGGGGAAUUUUGGACAAUGGGCGAAAGCCUGAUCCAGCCAUUCCGCGUGCAGGAUGAAGGCCCUCGGGUUGUAAACUGCUUUUGUACAGAACGAAAAGGUUUCUACUAAUACUAGGAGCUCAUGACGGUACUGUAAGAAUAAGCACCGGCUAACUACGUGCCAGCCGCCGCUGUAA